rnacentral:rRNA from 1 species
GUUGAGGAAGAUAAUGACGGUACUCAACAAGGAAGUGACGGCUAACUACGUGCCAGCAGCCGCGGUAAAACGUAGGUCACAAGCGUUGUCCGGAAUUACUGGGUGUAAAGGGAGCGCAGGCGGGAGAACAAGUUGGAAGUGAAAUCCAUGGGCUCAACCCAUGAACUGCUUUCAAAACUGUUUUUCUUGAGUAGUGCAGAGGUAGGCGGAAUUCCCGGUGUAGCGGUGGAAUGCGUAGAUAUCGGGAGGAACACCAGUGGCGAAGGCGGCCUACUGGGCACCAACUGACGCUGAGGCUCGAAAGUGUGGGUAGCAAACAGGAUUAGAUACCCUGGUAGUCCACACCGUAAACGAUGAUUACUAGGUGUUGGAGGAUUGACCCCUUCAGUGCCGCAGUUAACACAAUAAGUAAUCCACCUGGGGAGUACGACCGCAAGGUUGAAACUCAAAGGAAUUGACGGGGGCCCGCACAAGCAGUGGAGUAUGUGGUUUAAUUCGACGCAACGCGAAGAACCUUACCAAGUCUUGACAUCCCUUGACRAACAUAGAAAUAUGUUUUCUCUUCGGAGCAAGGAGACAGGUGGUGCAUGGUUGUCGUCAGCUCGUGUCGUGAGAUGUUGGGUUAAGUCCCGCAACGAGCGCAACCCUUAUGGUCAGUUACUACGCAAGAGGACUCUGGCCGGACUGC